rnacentral:misc_RNA from 1 species
GCUAGCUGGGGGAGAAAAGCAUAAGUUGUUAUUGGAAUUGACCAAAUGGGCCAAAAUGCAUACUGGGAAUAAAGCAGGGUCAUUAGAAGACCCAAACGUUUUUGAUGCCAUAUGUCAUUGGGCUGAAUUUUGAGAAGGCCACCUCAUAGACGCCAACAACCCACCGUUUCUGUUGAUUCAACAUAUCCACCAAGCUGAUGGGUGCAUGCCCCAGAAAC